rnacentral:rRNA from 1 species
UAGGGAAUAUUGCACAAUGGGCGAAAGCCUGAUGCAGCAACGCCGCGUGCGUGAUGAAGGUCUUCGGAUCGUAAAGCGCUUUUCUGGGAGAUGAGAAAGGACAGUAUCCCAGGAAUAAGUCUCGGCUAACUACGUGCCAGCAGCCGCGGUAAAACGUAGGAGGCAAGCGUUAUCCGGAUUCACUGGGCGUAAAGCGCGUGCAGGCGGUGCGGUAAGUUGGGCGUGAAAGCUCUCGGCUCAACUGGGAGAGGUCGUCCAAUACUACCGUACUCGAGAGUAGAAGAGGAAAAUGGAAUUCCCGGUGUAGUGGUGAAAUGCGUAGAUAUCGGGAGGAACACCAGUGGCGAAGGCGAUUUCUGGUCUAUUUCUGACGCUCAGACGCGACAGCUAGGGUAGUAAACGGGAUUAGAGACCCCGGUAAUCCUAGCCGUAAACGAUGUGAACUUGGCGUUGGUGGGUUAAACUCCAUCAGUGCCGUAGCAAACGCGAUAAGUUCACC